rnacentral:rRNA from 1 species
GAUCCUGGCUCAGGAUGAACGCUAGCGGGAGGCCUAAUACAUGCAAGUCGAGCGGUAGAGUGACUUCGGUUGCUUGAGAGCGGCGAACGGGUGAGUAACGCGUACACAAUCUACCUUUAAGAGGGGAAUAGCCCUGGGAAACUGGGAUUAAUGCCCCAUGGCAUCACGAGACGGCAUCGUUUUGUGAUUAAAGCUGAGGUGCUUAGAGAUGAGUGUGCGUCUGAUUAGCUAGUUGGUGCGGUAACGGCGCACCAAGGCGACGAUCAGUAGGGGGCGUGAGAGCGUGGACCCCCACACGGGUACUGAGACACGGAUCCGACUCCUACGGGAGGCAGCAGUAAGGAAUAUUGGUCAAUGGAGGAAACUCUGAACCAGCCAUCCCGCGUGCAGGAAGAAUGCCCUAUGGGUUGUAAACUGCUUUUAUCUGGGAAGAAAAGUCGGGAUUUAUCCUGAUCUGACGGUACCAGAGGAAUAAGCACCGGCUAACUCCGUG